rnacentral:rRNA from 1 species
CCUACGGGUGGCAGCAGUGAGGAAUAUUGGUCAAUGGGCGAGAGCCUGAACCAGCCAAGUCGCGUGAGGGAGUACUGCCCUAUGGGUUGUAAACCUCUUUUGUCGGGGAGCAAAAGCCGGACGUGUCCGGCUGUGAGAGUACCCGAAGAAAAAGCAUCGGCUAACUCCGUUCCAGCAGCCGCGGUAAUACGGAGGAUGCGAGCGUUAUCCGGAUUUAUGGGGUUUAAAGGGUGCGCAGGCGGAUUUUUAAGUCAGCGGGAAAAUCGUAGGGGCAAACCCCAUCCAGCCGUUGAAACUGGGGAUCUAGAGUGUGCGAGAGGUAGGCGGAAUGCGUGGUGUAGCGGUGAAAUGCAUAGAUAUCACGCAGAACCCCGAUUGCGAAGGCAGCAUACCGGUGCACAACUGACGCUGAGGCACGAAAGCGUGGGUAUCGAACAGGAUUAGAUACCCGUGUAGUC